GUUUGUUUUGUUCAUGUGUGGAGAGGUGGUUGCAGUCAGUGAUGAUUUUACAACACGCUGUCUCCUGCUGUUUAAAGGAUUUAGGCUGGGAUGAAAUGUUUUCCAAUAAUUAGUGAUUUUUGUGUUUGUUUAUUACCUGCACGGAGUUCCGUGAAAAGGAAAGCAUCCCUUUUCUGUGUUGAAUUUCACACACAGAGCGGAGCGCGUCAGUCGCAGCUACAGACAAGUCGAGCUUUUCAAUGAGAUGAUUUAAUGAGAAACAAACGCGUUGAAGCUCCAGCAGAGCUCUGCGCGAUUCUGAAAGACCAAAGUAAAGUUACUCCUUGCAAAGCAUGUUGUUUGUGUUCUUUCUUUAUCACACCAGAAGAAGUCAUGAAUAUAUUUGAAUGGGAAGGCUACAGUACAAAAUAAAUAUUAAUAAAUAAAAACCGCAGGCGGUGUUUCUGAAUGAAAAGAGGAUUCCGCUAGACCAGUGUGAAACUCAAACCAGUGAAGAUGGACGCGUCAGUGUGUCCGUGUCGCUCUUUCAAGACGAGCUCGCCUCUACCAUCGAGCACGCAGUGAAAGCGCCUCUACACACCGUCUUGUGCGCGAUUACUAAAGCUGUCGGCAGCAAUUCACUGAAUUCAGAGUGGAAAUGGAACAAAAAGGAGAAAGAGAAUGAAAGUCUGAAGCUGAGAUUGGAAAUAUCAGAGAACGAGCUGAAAGCUGUGCGAGGGUGUAUAAACGCUACACAUGCAGACACUAAACAACCUUUAAUAUUUCAAGAUCCCAAAGAGAGCCACGCUAUCCCUGAAUCUGAAGCACAGGAAGGGCCAAAGAUAGAAGCAGGAGUGCUGUGCAAGUCUAAUGCAGGUUACAGAGCUGGCAUGUGUUAAAGAUGAAGAGGUCCCUCAACAGGAAUGUGUUCCUAUUAAAGAGGAAUUCAUAGAGCAGGAAUGUGUCCCCAUCGCAGAGGAACUUCCUCAUGAAAAUCAUGUCUGUACACUUGAGGAGAACAACAAGCUGGGAUCCAACCUGUGUGAUGACUCUCCAUCUGAAUGUGAACUGGGAUUUAGAGGUAAUCCUACAAAACAAGCAGCAUUGAGCUGCCUAUUCAUCCUGCAGAAACUGGUACUGAACACCAGCAGUGUGCUUGAGAUUCAUAUUUUAACCAAGGGGAGCUGCCCAACCACUAUGUCAACAAGGACAUCACUGUGCUUGCUCCUGAGGCACCUGCUAGAUGUGCAGCCGCUGCCACGCCUCUUUAGAAUGCUGUGAGAUCAGCGGUGUCCAAUCACGCUCCUGGAGGCCAUUCCACUCCACAUUGAACAGCUUCUAAAGUAGAUGAAGGAGAACGCGACUCCACUCUAUCACCCCAGUGCAAAAAUGCUUCUAGAGGCAAACCACAGUGCAAGAAACACAGAGAAACAACACCCCAAGAAGAAAAUGUGAAGACAUUGAGAACUCACUCAGUUACAAUACCUUCCUUACAAGACAGACACCCACUUACUGUGUAGAGUACAGAGACGCCACAUUCUGUAUGUUUUAACAAUUCUGAAACCCAGGGCAACUUGAAGACCUUGCCUCAUUCUAUUAAAGGUGGGAAGAGUUCCUGUCAAUUAGACACUCCUGAAACUCACAAGGGAAAUCCCAGAGGAGGGACUCCGUGUUCCUGGGCUGAUUGUAGGAAGAGUUUCAAUCAUAUAUCACUGCUUAAAAGACACCAGCGCGUUCACACAGGAGAGAAACCUUCUCACAUACAGACCAGUGAUAAGAGUUUUACACAGUUAGGAAAUCUUCAUUCACACCAGUGCAUUCACAUAGGAGAGAAACAUUAUCACUGUACUGAGUGUGGGGAGAGAUUCAGUCAGUUAGGAAACCGCACAAGACACCAUAACAUUCACACAUAUGUGUAAUCCUAUCCCUGCACUUAGUGUGAAGAUGUUAAGUCAGUUGCAGGCUCUUACAGGACUUGAGAACAUUCUCAGAAAUGCAGACACUUGGGGACACCUAAACAACAGGAGUGCAUUCGACUAAAUACAGAAAUAUUAACUGAAAACAAAAGAAUAAACUUGCUUGAUAAAUAGGGUCACCCCUAAUCACAAUCUGUUCAGAUCAAAAACUCACCAAAAUCUGUGUUCAUCAUGUUGUUGAGCAUAUUAAAUAGAUUGUUAUUAUGAGUGCAAGUUUCUCUUUUUUUCCUCCUGCAUUGCUCAGCCUCUUGCAGUGUGUUGUGUGGAAUCUUCCCUGAUACCAUGGUGAAUCUGCGGUACAUCAAGACGCAGCACAGUAUACCACAGUUAUCAUGCGGGCAGCUUGAAGUGGAAAAUCAAUACUGUUUCCAGCAGGGUGCGCCAGAGACCUUUUAGCACUUUAAUGGGCUGCAUACCAUUGCUUCUUAACAAGGUGAUUUCUGCUCCUGAUGUGUUGAAUACUCCCCUCUCUCUCUCUGGGGGACUCUAUUAAACAAACAGGCACAAGGUAUUUAGAAAUCACAGCUUUAUUACAUCAUCUUAGAUUCUCUCGUGUACCAGUUCUCUGUGCAUGGAAACAACAUUUUCAUGAGCAAUCUGCGAAAACAGCACAAGAACUUUACACAUGGCUAAUUUAUAUAGCAACCCCCACCUUUCUCCUUCAUUUACAUGACGUCUGAUGAAAGCCAGGUUUUCUCAAGUAAAAUAAACUGAGCGAAUGGGAACCCGAAAAAGCAUUUUGCACAAGACAUUUUUAUUAAGCAAUUCCAGUGGUUUGCAGAAGUAUUCACCCCCCUGCAAAGUUUUCACAUUUUGUUGGCACCUGAGCGUACUCCACGACGCUUUCAAAUUAGACUUUACAUGUAGAAUCUACACAAACUACUCCACAUUGAUAAAGUUAAAGGUCACAAAAUUAGUGAAAUAGUUUUAGCUUGUAUGUACUCAAAGUGGUUUAACUUGUAGAUAAUUACAUUCAGGCAUAUAAAGACUUUCAAGCUGCAACUCGCAUAGUGAACCAACAAAGCAACCAUGAAGACCAAGGAGCUUUCGAAAUAAGUCAGGAAUAAAGUGGUAGAGAGGCACAGAGAAGGGUACAAGAACAUUUCAAAGGCUCUGAUUAUCCCUCUCAGCACAGUGAAGGCCAUCAUUAAGAAGUGGAAGAUGCAUCAUACCACCCAGACACUACCCAGAUCAGGUCGCUCUCCCAAACUGAGCAGCUGGACAAGCAGGAAACUGGUUCGGGAUGUCACUGAAGCCACCAAUGACCUUGAGAGAUCUGCAAAGUUCUGUGUCUAAGGUGGGAGUCAGCAUUCACACAUCAACAAUAAGCCAGUCCCUACACAAAGCUGGCCUGUAUGGAUGGGUGGCAAGAAAGAAGCCAUUACUCAAAAAGCAAUUGAACUACUGGUGACACAUUUCCUUUUUAUAUUUCCAUAUUUCAGCACAUGCAUCAGUGAUGUGAUAUCCAUCAAAGUUCCUUUGAAAUGCACAAUCAGGUGUUCAGUGGGAGCAGUGGUCACACUUCAUUUGAAGUGCUGCUUGUUUAGUCUAGUAACUGUUAGCAAAGAGCUCAUUAAAACUAUCAAACAUUGUUCAUUGUGUUCUUAAUGUUUGGUUAAUUAAAAAGUAACCUAUUUAUGUACUAAUAAUGUCAUAUUAUUGGAAUUGGGAGAGGUUUGUUUAAAGGAACUAUUGAAGCUAGUACUGUAGUAAUGUUUAGCAGUGAGAUCAGGUUUGGUUUUAUUACCGUAUACUCACUAGGAAUUGACGCAUGCGCUUAUACUUGAGUAUGUGCUGUUUUCUGUGCAGGUGCAGUUACUCCUUUGGUUUCAUAUAGAAGCUUAUGCACCUGCAUUUGAGUGUAAUGCAAGGUGUGGAGGCUCACAUGUUCAUAUAUUGCAUUACAAGUUAAACACCAUAUUUAUUCUUUCUCUUUGAAUUCCAAAUGUUGUAAGACGGAUAAGGGUGUCUGCUAAGAAAUGAAUAAAUAAUAAUCUUUUUAGCUUGUAAUAAGAUAAUAAUAAUAUCUUUAUUUUUAUAUAGCACCUUUCAUAGUGGAACACCAUCUCACAGUGCUUUACAGAGGUAGGUUGUGAACUGUGCAUUAUAUGCAGAGUCACUUACAAUAGGGCAUUGAUUUAAUAAUAUAAGAAAAGUUAUGAACAAAAUCAGGGAAUUUAAUGCAUCAAUACUUUUCUUGUAGCUGACUGAUCCCUGGCUUUCAUCUAGUUGGCUUUUAAAGACAUCCUAAUGACUCUGCAGCAGCACCAUUCUAGUGACCCAUUUCAAACACUCCCAACUCUGUGAGAAGUGUCUUCUCUAAUCCUUCUUUGUUCCAGGCUAAAUAGA